rnacentral:sRNA from 1 species
AGUGCCAGGCGGGAGGCGGCAGCGGUCGGACGCUUCGCCCGGCUUUGCAGCGGGGACUUCGGCGGCGGCGCCUCAGGCACCUCGGCCCGGACACGAUGAGGCGAGUGGUACGACAGAGCAAGUUUCGGCAUGUAUUUGGGCAAGCGGUGAAAAAUGACCAGUGCUAUGAUGACAUCCGGGUUUCUCGUGUGACCUGGGAUAGUUCCUUUUGUGCUGUCAAUCCCAGAUUUGUUGCCAUAAUCAUAGAGGCAAGUGGGGGAGGAGCGUUCCUUGUCCUCCCUCUGCACAAGGUAGGUAAUUUGAUCUUCCAUUCUGGUAGACACCCUCUGAUAGUCUCCAUACUUUUUCCUUAAUAGAUUGACAGUUCACUAAGAAUUGUAUUUGUGAAACCAUUAGACUCUGAUGUAAUUGAGGUUAAGUUCCACACGCCUUACUAACCACAUCAGUUUUUCUCUAACAGAGAAUCAUUAAAUA